CCUACGGGAGGCAGCAGUGAGGAAUAUUGGUCAAUGGUCGGGAGACUGAACCAGCCAAGCCGCGUGAGGGAUGAAGGUACAGAGUAUCGUAAACCUCUUUUGUCAGGGAACAAAGGCGGGGACGUGUCCCCGGAUGAGUGUACCUGAAGAAAAAGCAUCGGCUAACUCCGUGCCAGCAGCCGCGGUAAUACGUAUGGGGCAAGCGUUAUCCGGAUUUACUGGGUGUAAAGGGAGCGCAGGCGGCUUGGCAAGUCUGAUGUGAAAGGCUGGGGCGCAACCCCAGGACUGCAUUGGAAACUGUUAGGCUGGAGUGUCGGAGAGGUAAGCGGAAUUCCUAGUGUAGCGGUGAAAUGCGUAGAUAUUAGGAGGAACACCAGUGGCGAAGGCGGCUUACUGGACGACAACUGACGCUGAGGCUCGAAAGCGUGGGGAGCAAACAGGAUUAGAUACCCGAGUAGUC
rnacentral:rRNA from 1 species